AGGCCCACGUGGUGGAUCACUCAGCUCAUACAUCGAUGAAGAACGCAGCUAGCUGUGACAAUUAAUGUGAAUUGCAGGACUCAUUAAAAAAAAAAAAAGUGAAGUAAGGUGGUCACUAAGGACAGGGCUCUGGAGCAGCCUUUCCAGAGAGUUU
rnacentral:rRNA from 1 species